UCUUUUGGGUCUCGUAAUUGGAAUGAGAACAAUUUAAAUCCCUUAACGAGGAACAAUUGGAGGGCAAGUCUGGUGCCAGCAGCCGCGGUAAUUCCAGCUCCAAUAGCGUAUAUUAAAGUUGUUGCAGUUAAAAAGCUCGUAGUUGAACCUUGGGUCUGGCUGGCCGGUCCGCCUCACCGCGAGUACUGGUCCGGCUGGACCUUUCCUUCUGGGGAACCUCAUGGCCUUCACUGGCUGUGGGGGGAACCAGGACUUUUACUGUGAAAAAAUUAGAGUGUUCAAAGCAGGCCUUUGCUCGAAUACAUUAGCAUGGAAUAAUAGAAUAGGACGUGUGGUUCUAUUUUGUUGGUUUCUAGGACCGCCGUAAUGAUUAAUAGGGAUAGUCGGGGGCGUCAGUAUUCA
rnacentral:rRNA from 1 species